UAUAUAUUAUAUAUAUAUAUAUAUAUAUAUAUAUAUAUAUGUGUGAUGUGAGAUCAAGGUAGACCAUAUAGGUAUUUUGAUUAUAUUUUACUUGUUUUGGUAGUAUUAGGGGGUAGCUAGCUAUAACUGGCUUUCCUUUGCUUCUAUUUCAAUGAGACUCCAACUUUUGUGGAACCAUUGAACUGUGAUAAACUCUAUGAAGCUGUACAAUCUCUAAUAUGUACGAAACAAAUACUGCUGAUACAUCUUCUCUUCUUUCUCUUUCUCAUUUUAUCACUAAAAUCCUUCCUUUUUACCACAUCAGCGACUGGAAAAUACACUGGAAAUUGGAUGCUAAAAACAA